UACGUAGGGCGCAAGCGUUGUCCGGAAUUAUUGGGCGUAAAGAGCUCGUAGGCGGCCAGUUGCGUCUGCUGUGAAAUCCCGGGGCUCAACCCCGGGCGUGCAGUGGAUACGGGCUGGCUAGAGGCAGGCAGGGGAGAACGGAAUUCCCGGUGUAGCGGUGAAAUGCGCAGAUAUCAGGAGGAACACCGAUGGCGAAGGCAGGUCACUGGGCCGCAACUGACGCUGAGGAGCGAAAGCAUGGGGAGCGAACAGG
rnacentral:rRNA from 1 species